rnacentral:rRNA from 1 species
GACGUAGGGCGCGAGCGUUGUCCGGAUUUAUUGGGCGUAAAGAGCUCGUAGGCGGCUUGUCGCGUCGAAUGUGAAAUCUCGGGGCUCAACUCCGAGCUUGCAUUCGAUACGGGCAGGCUAGAGUUCGGUAGGGGAGACUGGAAUUCCUGGUGUAGCGGUGAAAUGCGCAGAUAUCAGGAGGAACACCGGUGGCGAAGGCGGGUCUCUGGACGGCAACUGACGCUGAGGCACGAAAGCGUGGGGAGCAAACAGG